GACGGCACUAAGGAGGAAGGAAAAGAGUUCAAAGAUGCAGACAUCUUCGAGAUGAACCCCCCUAAGUAUGACAAGAUUGAGGACAUGGCCAUGAUGACCUACCUGAAUGAAGCCUCUGUGUUGUAUAACCUCAAAGAGCGUUAUGCAGCAUGGAUGAUCUAUACCUACUCUGGGCUCUUCUGUGCCACGGUGGAACCCC